AUCUCCCUCAGGCGGAGUGGUUAACGCGCUGGCCUGCUAAGCCAGUUCCUUCGGGAGCGUGUGUUCGAAUCACACAGGUGNNN
rnacentral:tRNA from 1 species